rnacentral:rRNA from 1 species
UACGUAGGGGGGCUAGCGUUGUCCGGAAUCAUUGGGCGUAAAGCGCGUGUAGGCGGUCCGGUAAGUCCGCUGUGAAAGUCGGGGGGCUCAACCCUCGGAUGCCGGUGGAUACUGUCGGGCUUGAGUACGGAAGAGGCGAGUGGAAUUCCUGGUGUAGCGGUGAAAUGCGCAGAUAUCAGGAGGAACACCAAUUGCGAAGGCAGCUCGCUGGGACGUUACUGACGCUGGAGACGCGAAAGCGUGGGGAGCAAACAGG